UACGUAGGGGGCAAGCGUUGUCCGGAUUUAUUGGGCGUAAAGAGCGUGUAGGCGGCUUUACAGGUCCGUUGUGAAAACUCGAGGCUCAACCUCGAGACGCCGGUGGAAACCGUAAAGCUAGAGUCCGGAAGAGGAGAGUGGAAUUCCUGGUGUAGCGGUGAAAUGCGCAGAUAUCAGGAAGAACACCAAUGGCGAAGGCAGCUCACUGGGACGGUAUUGACGCUGAGACGCGAAAGCGUGGGGAGCAAACAGG
rnacentral:rRNA from 1 species